UCUCUAUCACUCUCUCGCAGAUGCUCCAUCACACCACACAGCCUCCCUCUCUUUCUCUCUUUUAUCCAUCUGCUUUCAGUUGUACCGCUUGCUCUGCCGGCUUGCCACCAGCUGUCAGUUCUUCUGUGGCUGCAGAGCAACAACUGGCUUCGGUCUGUGCCGGGUGAGGCGGGAGGAAGGUGAGUGCGGCACAAAGAGCGGGAGACGAGGGAGAGCGGAGGACUGAAACGGGAAGAGGAGGAAAUCUUUUGUUCAGCAUCCUCUCUGCAGCAUCAGUACCAGCUCCGACUUCCCUGCUGGAUCGUCCAUCUCCCGCCUGGAUCUGCCUCCUCCUUCUCCUCUGGGAGCUCUUCCUGGAAGCGGGAGGGGGAGGGAGAUCAGCACCUCCCAGUUUGCUACGGACUGUCAGCGGGGCAUCUUCAGAGGAGGAGCGGGGAUGAAAGGAGGGGAUUUUAGAGCAGAGGGAAGGCACCACCCUGGCUUACAGGAGAGCUGAGAGGAUGGAAAGAGGGUAAGAAGCUGCUGUGGCAGCUGGGGGUCCUACCCCCCCUCUCCACUCCUUGGCCACUUCUGACAGACUGAGACUUUGAUUCUUUUUUCCACCCAAGUCUUCCUGUUUUUUCUCCAUUUCACUGCAGCCGUUUUUUCCUCCAUGGGACACCUUAGUGGCAGAAAAGCUGAAGAUCGUUACGUGUUUGCGGCUUCUACAUGCCCCCCCCCUGUCUUGUGUGUUUGUGGAAGUUUGAAAACAGAAAAAGUGCUGUUGGUCUUACCUUUGCCCCCACCCUCAGAGGGAUGUGAUGCAUCUCAGGGUGUGGGACCCCAGCUUCCCCGGUCUCCGCAGACGGCCUGGGUUGGGUGUGUGGGAGUGGAUCUCACGAUGCCAGGCAGGGCCCAGCGGAUCACCGGGGAAGCUGCCGCCUCCGCCUGCGCCAGCGGGCCCAGGUAAGGCUCUGGCAGUCGGGCCGCGGGUCACCCACACCUCCACCGCCCGUCACCUGCGAACGUUGUGUCGUAGAGACGAGAGAGAGUGAGCCGAGCUUCACACACCCUUCUUUUUGCUAUUUUUCUGUUUCUCCUUUGACACGCGCUGCUGGCUGGGAUUGAAAAUGCCUCCAAUUUUCUCCUGUGCAGAGGAGCCAUUGAUGGAGCCUUGCCUCACACUGCUGCAAGCUGUCUUCAAUCAAUGCGACUGCCCCACUCUCUCUGUAUGUGUCUGUGUGUGUUUGCCUCUGGAGCAUGGAGGGGGGCUGCUGAUGGCGGAGGCGAUGGCCAUGGUGGGGAUGAUGAGGCCGUGGCGAUGGCGCCACUCUCGUGGUUUCUGGCUUAGCUCGCCGUGUUUACGGAAAGACUCUCUUCGGUGACGGGUAUUCUUGGGUGGAUAAUACGGAUCACGUUGUUAUUGCUUAAGAAUACGCGUAGUUGAGGAGAGUCCUCUCUUCGCCAAAUUCCGGCAACACCCUGACCCCCCCAACACCCACCCACCCACUUCACCUCAACGAGCCACCCUCAUGGGCUGUGAGGUUGGGUGAAGCUGCGGCCCCAUGCUCCACCUUUCUGAGACAAAAUGAGACUCAAACGCAUUCAUUUGCUUGUGUUGUCCCCGCCCACUUCCUGUCAGGCCGAGAGUGUCCUCUCGUCUGUCCCACCAUUCAUCUGUCAGUCUGUUUGUGUCUCCAUGGCGACGGAUGCGUGUUUCUGUGGCUAGAGCUGUUCUGCAGAGAGACGGGGAUUCUUUUGGUCAGAGCUAAGGCCGACGGCAGAGCCAAGAAUGCGGCACGCUGCAUGGUCAGCAUGGCGGCCUGCGCACGCUCCAUCCCCCCCGCCCGUGCAGAGCCACCAAUCAUGACUGACUCCACGCAGAUCCAGUCAGGAGCUGACGUCAGUGGAAAUCGCUGCGGCGGCGGUUAAAUCAGACAUGUCAGAUUGGGAUCCACAGAGUGGAGUGAUGGACCAUGUCAGUGGUUCCUGUUUUCAAAGACAUGUGGGUCUGUAGACAAACAUUUCAUCCCUUUUUGGUGGACAAACCUUCAGUUUUUCCUGGAGUUCACCAGUUUGUGGUGAACCAGGCUGAGUUUGGUGCCUUUUGAUGACUGUCAUCUGCCCAUCCUGAAAGUGUUUCUUCUUGUGCAUAAACAGAAACUUUAGAAACAACAUAACGUCUGGUUGGUUUGGCUGUAAGCCUGACUGAGCUAUCCUUUACUUUAAAGCAGUUUUCACAGCUUUGCCAUCAAACAAAUAUUCCAAAAAGAGCAGCCAGCGUCAUGCAUUAAAUGCUCAUCGCGUACCCAGCAUUCAAAAAGGAAAUGUCCAACAUCAGCGCGUGCACUGAGAGGAGGCGUCUCCGUAAACAAUCAUCAGAGCUCUAUGGUCUACGAGCAGCUUUUCUGUGUUACUGAGGCGAUGCAGCAUGAAUAUGCAUCCCCUCUCCAUGUCUGAUGGCACAUUCCCAACCCUAACACCCGUGUAAAAUCCAUUUAAACACAUAAUAGGAUCAACACGACUGUCUUCACACAUGCCACCCCCCAUGAUCCCGUUCUGGAGAUCUCCAUCCCCUCAGGCUUCAUCUGUGUACGCUGCAGCACAGGGGAGGGGGGGGGUUACUCUGUUGAAUAAUCUCGGCUGGGAGGUGAUGGUAAAGUUAGCUGCCGCGUUGCUCUGACACGCUUACUCUCCUAAUUGUACAAUCAUCCCAGUCAUUUCCAUUCCAGGUUCUCCAAACAAUGCAAUCAUGUGUUUGACUUGGCUGCUAAUGACUCUGCUGUUCGUCUCCACAUGGAGGCAAAGCCUGGGCGGAAGGAGGAAGACUCGGAUUUAAAAGAGGAAGAGCGAAGCAUGCAGAGUUGGUUGACUGCAGCAGGUGUUGUGUUGUGCUGAUCUGUGUCUUGUGUGUCUGUGGCUUUGUUGCUGUUGGGGCGACUGACGUCCCUUUUGCCGCGUGAACCAGCCUCUGUCCAUCAUGUGACCACUUUCCAUCUCACGUCCACUAGCCCUGAUUUCAAUAGCAGCUAGCAACAAGUGAAGCGGCCUUCAGGAAACGCUUCUGCUGGAAAACAUCUCAGACUCUGAGUUGGUGCUUCCAGCUUCUCAGAGCGAAAGCAUGUGACAUGAAGUGUAAUGUCGCUGUGCCAGCCGGUUUCUGGACCGUCUGCUUGCUAACUGUUUGUAAAGUCUGCUGUGCUGCAAAACACUGGAAAUGCAAUGGGAAGUUGCUGCUGAGGUCCUGAUGGUGGCGCUGCUGAUCCUGCUGGUUCAGAGCAGUUUGGGGUUGAAGAUGACUAUGGAGCUGAUCAGGAUGAAGGAUGAACCGCUGCACCAUGUGGACUUUCCUGUGCCUUUUCCUUUUUCUAACAUGUACAUCCAAUGAAUUUCUCCUGAAAGUCAAAUAAAGCUUUGAUCAGUUUGCAUUUUAUGAUGACAUUU